rnacentral:rRNA from 1 species
CCUACGGGUGGCAGCAGUGGGGAAUAUUGCACAAUGGGGGGAACCCUGAUGCAGCGACGCCGCGUGAGUGAAGAAGUCUUUAGGUAUGUAAAGCUCUAUCAGCAGGGAAGAAAAUGACGCUACCUGACUAAGAAGCCCCGGCUAACUACGUGCCAGCAGCCGCGGUCAUACGGAGGGGGCAAGCGUUAUCCGGAUUGACUGGGGUUAAAGGGAGCGCAGACGGCUGUGCAAGUCUGGAGUGAAAGGCGGGGGGCCAACCCCCGGACUGCGCUGGAAACUGUAAAGCUGGAGUGCAGGAGAGGUAAGCGGAAUGCCUAGUGUAGCGGUGAAAUGCGUAGAUAUUAGGAGGAACACCAGUGGCGAAGGCGGCUUACUGGACUGCAACUGACGUUGAGGCUCGAAAGCGUGGGGAGCAAACAGGAUUAGAUACCCGAGUAGUC